ACGGAAGGCAGCAGUGGGGAAUUUUGCGCAAUGGGGGAAACCCUGACGCAGCAACGCCGCGUGCGGGAUGGAGGCCUUCGGGCUGUAAACCGCUUUCAGCAGGGAAGACUUCGACGGUACCUGCAGAAGAAGCUCCGGCUAACUACGUGCCAGCAGCCGCGGUAAUACGUAGGGGGCGAGCGUUAUCCGGAUUCAUUGGGCGUAAAGCGCGCGUAGGCGGCUGCCUAAGCGGAGUUUCUAAUCUUGGGGCUCAACCUCAAGCCGGACUCCGAACUGGGCGGCUCGAGUGCGGUAGGGGCAGGCGGAAUUCCACGUGUAGCGGUGAAAUGCGCAGAUAUGUGGAGGAACACCGAUGGCGAAGGCAGCCUGCUGGGGACUCAUCGACGCUGAGGCUCGAAAGUGCGGGUAGCAAACAGGAUUAGAUACCCUGGUA
rnacentral:rRNA from 1 species